rnacentral:lncRNA from 1 species
AUCGGGACGUCGCGGCGGUUGUCACUAGCUCGAUGGGAGUUCCGGGUCGUGACAGUUACAUUGUUGCUUUUAAAAGUUGGGAACUUUUCAUUGAAAGGAAGAUUUUUGUAGUGCUACUGCACAUGUUUGUGGGGGCCUUUUUGUUUCUCACCUUUUUUUUUCCCCCUUUUCUUUAAGAAAUCCAAUCUAAAUGUAGAUGAAUUGAAGUAUGGGCUGAUUUGAUGUUUUAGAUAUGUAACAAUUACCAGCUGACCAAUUAAUUUAUGGUUUGGAAUAAUGAAAACGACAUUGGGAAGAAUAUA